CCUCUCCUCGCGGCGCGGGUUGCAGGCAGCGCUGAGUCCUGCUGCGCACGUGGGAGGCCCUGGCCCCGGCCCCCCCCGCGAUGCCGCGCGCUCCCCGCUGCCGAGCCGUGCGCUCCCUGCUGCGCAGCCACUACCGCGAGGUGCUGCCGCUGGCCACGUUCGUGCGGCGCCUGGGGCCCCAGGGCUGGCGGCUGGUGCAGCGCGGGGACCCGGCGGCUUUCCGCGCGCUGGUGGCCCAGUGUCUGGUGUGCGUGCCCUGGGACGCACGGCCGCCCCCCGCCGCCCCCUCCUUCCGCCAGGUGUCCUGCCUGAAGGAGCUGGUGGCCCGGGUGCUGCAGAGGCUAUGCGAGCGCGGCGCGAGGAACGUGCUGGCCUUCGGCUUCGCGCUGCUGGACGGGGCCCGCGGCG
rnacentral:sRNA from 1 species